UCUGGCAACCACUAAAAUUAAUAUACGAAAUUGGAAAAGAAUUAGUAGGACAAGAACCCUUUCCAAUUUCCAUCUCUCUAUCUCCGCUGCUGACUGUGAUUGCUCUGUUUCUCUUUCACUUGGAUUUCUUUUAUCAGUUCCAAGAAUCGCUCUUCUCGAUCGAUCAGGAUCUCGAGUAAGAUGGGAAGUAAUGGUGGAGAGCAAAUAAAGAUUUCUGGACUGGAUGCUGCUGAAUGUUCUCAAACCACUGUUCAGAUCAAGAUCAAGACAUUGGAUUCUCAAACUUACAAUCUGCGGGUGGAUAAAUGUGUGCCUGUUCCAGAACUGAAGGAACAGAUUGCUUCUGUAACUGGUGUCCUGUCAGAGCAACAACGCCUUAUAUGUCGUGGAAAAGUUUUGAAGGAUGAUCAACUCCUCUCAGCUUACCAUGUGGAAGAUGGGCAUACUCUGCAUCUUGUCGUGAGACAACCCAUUGCUACCUCAGUCGAGCAGCCAGCAACUGAUCCAACAUCAAAUACAGGGCAAAAUACAAGUGGUCAGGUGAGCCCUGGUAUGGUGGUUGGAACCUUUAAUAUAUCAGAGCAGGGAGAUGGUGCUUUUCCUGAUCUAAAUCGGAUCGUUUCUGCUGUACUUAAUUCUUUUGGUGUUACAAGAUUUGGAAGCGGAGCUGAAGGGAUUGAUUUAAAUCAAUCUCCAUCGGAACGUCAACCAACUGCGCCUGGGCUCAGUGGUACCAGAAAUUCUUUCAGACCGCAAACUGACCAAGCAGCUUCAGUUUCUGUUCCUGUGGAACCUCUGCAGCCACUGGUUAUACCCGAUUCAUUGACUACUUUGUUACAGUACUUGAGCCAUUUGAGACAAGAAUUUUCUGCAUACGGCCAAAGUUCAAAUGCUCAAAAUGGGAUUGAUGGGCAAGAGUCAGAAUCUCCUGUGCAUUCUAGUGAGCCAAGAGGGCUUCUGAAUCCCGAGUCAUUGUCAGAGGUGAUGUCAUCUGCCAGAAGACUUCUUCUUGAACAUGCCACUGAGUGCCUUUCGCAACUUUCAGGACAGCUUGAAUCUCAGUCAAGUGUGACGGAUUCAUUGGAGCGGUCAAGAAUUCAAUCUAGUGUUAUAAGAUCAGGAGCUCUUUUUCAAAAUUUGGGUGCUUUGAUGCUAGAGCUUGGUAGGGCCAUGAUGACCCUACGAAUGGGUCAAUCACCGGCUGAUGCAUUGGUUAAUGCUGGACCAUCAGUCUUCAUAUCUUCAACUGGGCCCAAUCCUAUAAUGGUUCAGCCUCUGCCUUUCCAACCAGGGGCGAGUUUUGGUUCAGUUCCUGUGGGUACUGCUCAGCAUGGCUCUGGUGUAGCUGGAAGCUCUUCUGCUACAGGUUUCCUGCCCAGAAAUAUUGACAUCAGAAUACGAGCAGGUUCAUUAUUUCCUCGAAGAGAGCCUACUGCUUCUCCGUCUCAAGGGCAAACUGGUACACCAUCACCCAAUAGCACAAGUCCCAGUCAGCAACAAGAUGCUGCGACAGUUGAACCAAACUCGCGCAAUAGGGAACCACAACUGAGGGCAAUUCCCCUUAGAACUGUAGUCGCUGCAGUACCAGCCCCUGUUGGUCGUAGUGCAGAUUCAUCUCGUGGUUCAGUAGGGAUCCUAUAUCCAGUUAUGGCUAGAGUUCAACAUCAAUCUUCAGGAAGCUCAAAUAAUGCAAGAACUUCUCAAGCAUCGGAUCAAAAUGGUCAUGCUGCUGAACAGCCUGAUUCUUCAACACAACAGCAACAUGUUCCAAUCCUUGGAGGAAAUGGGAGCAGCAAUUUACCUUCUGAAGCAUUUAAUGAUCAUGGAUUUUCAGGACUCGAGCAACUGCUAAGUAGUAUAUUUCCAGGGGGUCAGAUCCUAAGUGAAAGUACCGAGCUCCCUCAUUCAGCAUCUGAAGCAGCUCACAAUUCUGAGGCUGUGAGUGAAGAAGGGGUAAUUUUAUCUAAUAUUCUACGCCAGAUAAUGCCAAUGCUCUCUGAUAACAUGACCGCAUCCACUGAAGGAGCAAAUGCAGAUGAAGCGCAGGGAGAUGGAAACAGUGAUCAGGGAUCUUCUCGUCGCAGGAGAGGCUCUGAGUCACAAGAAAAUCAAAAACGUCAGAGGAGGGAGUAGUGGAAGAAGUCAAGAAGAGACCUUUAUUUGAGGGCUGAGAUGGACUGGCAGUGGCAGCUAAUGAUAAGAGAGUCAGACAGAGACUGGCUGUAAGCAAGGAUUGGAUACCCAACGGUAGUCUAUUGUUUCGCGAGCCCGGGAAGGGCAAUGAUACACUACCCAGGCCUACUGUGGUUACAGGUUAGUAAGGCAAUGGAAGCCACGUUGAGGAGGUUGUAUAUCCGUCAUAGGAGUGGCGUGGGUAGUGUAUCAACUACUGUCCCUGGCUCCAGAAUAUAGCCCAUGCCUGUAUGAAAGAGAGGCUUUUCAGGUUUGUGUAUGCCGAAGAAGAUGAUGAGUGCUCAAAAAAUAGUACAGUAAAAUAAAUAAGAUAUGCCAUGUUCCAAUGAUGGAGGGGGCAACUUGAAUCCAUGAUAUGUAUAUUCAAUUUUACAA